GGAGCCGGACAGGCAAUCGCGGUCCGCAAGGAUCGAGGAAAGUCCGAACUCCACAGGGCGGUGUGCCUCGUAACGCGAGGGGGGGGCGACCCCACGGAAAGUGCCACAGAAAAUAUACCGCCCCGCAUUGCGGGGUAAGGGUGAAAAGGUGCGGUAAGAGCGCACCGCGACGCUGGUAACAGCGGCGGCAGGGCAAACCCCACACGGAGCAAGGUCAAAUAGAAAAGCGCUUCCCGCAAGGGAUGAAGGGCGGCCCGUCCGAUGCUUUUGGGUAGACUGCUGGACCCCGGGGGUGAUCCCGGGGCAAGAUGAAUGAUUGCCGUUCCCGGGUUCAUAGCCCGGGGAAACAGAAUUCGGCUUAUGGCCGGCUCCGGCC
rnacentral:RNase_P_RNA from 1 species